UAGGGAAUCUUCGGCAAUGGACGGAAGUCUGACCGAGCAACGCCGCGUGAGUGAAGAAGGUUUUCGGAUCGUAAAGCUCUGUUGUAAGAGAAGAACGAGUGUGAGAGUGGAAAGUUCACACUGUGACGGUAUCUUACCAGAAAGGGACGGCUAACUACGUGCCAGCAGCCGCGGUAAUACGUAGGUCCCGAGCGUUGUCCGGAUUUAUUGGGCGUAAAGCGAGCGCAGGCGGUUAGAUAAGUCUGAAGUUAAAGGCUGUGGCUUAACCAUAGUACGCUUUGGAAACUGUUUAACUUGAGUGCAAGAGGGGAGAGUGGAAUUCCAUGUGUAGCGGUGAAAUGCGUAGAUAUAUGGAGGAACACCGGUGGCGAAAGCGGCUCUCUGGCUUGUAACUGACGCUGAGGCUCGAAAGCGUGGGGAGCAAACAGGAUUAGAUACCCUGGUAGUCCACGCCGUAAACGAUGAGUGCUAGGUGUUAGACCCUUUCCGNNNUUAGUGCCGCAGCUAACGCAUUAAGCACUCCGCCUGGGAGUACGACCGCAGU
rnacentral:rRNA from 1 species